AUCGCUUCUCGGCCUUUUGGCUAAGAUCAUGUGUAGUAUCUGUUCUUUUCAGACAGCCACGCCUCCCCGGAGCUCCGGGUUGUCUUCGAAGAAAAUCGAGUUUUUAGAUCGCGUUAGUCGAUAAUUUUGUAUCUACGUUUUCGUCUUAGUUUAUAGACCAAGUAGGUCUAGUUUUUACAGAUUUUUGUUUCAUUUU
rnacentral:snRNA from 1 species